ACGAACGCUGGCGGCAUGCCUAACACAUGCAAGUCGAACGAGGUGCCUUCGGGUAUCUAGUGGCGCACGGGUGCGUAACGCGUGGGAAUCUGCCCUGGGGUUCGGGAUAACAGCGGGAAACUGCUGCUAAUACCGGAUGAUAUCGUGAGAUCAAAGAUUUAUCGCCCUGGGAUGAGCCCGCGUCGGAUUAGGUAGUUGGUGGGGUAAGAGCCUACCAAGCCGACGAUCCGUAGCUGGUCUGAGAGGAUGAUCAGCCACACUGGGACUGAGACACGGCCCAGACUCCUACGGGAGGCAGCAGUGGGGAAUAUUGGACAAUGGGCGCAAGCCUGAUCCAGCAAUGCCGCGUGAGUGAUGAAGGCCUUAGGGUUGUAAAGCUCUUUUACCCGGGAUGAUAAUGACAGUACCGGGAGAAUAAGCCCCGGCUAACUCC
rnacentral:rRNA from 1 species